CACGUUGAAAAUCGAUAACACCACUAUCAAUCAUCUAUUUUUUUUAUUUAUCUAAUUUAUAUAAUCUUAAACACAAAGGUCGGUGACUAGAGUGCCACCAACCAACAACUCAUUUGUCUUUUUAUUUACCUUUACUUUUAUCUUUUCUUGAAAGUUCUAUGUUUUAUUUAAUAUUUUCUGGCUUCUUCUCUUUUUACCAGACACGUCUUUCACAAAUCUCCAGACACGCCACAGUUUCUUCUUUGUUUCCUCACAUUUGCACGCCAUGGAUCUUCAAGAUGGUCUCUUCUUUGCAAGUUUUCAUAAAUGAGAGAGAGAUCGGAAGAAGCAACAGAGAUCGAGAUCUCAUGUCGGACAAAUUGAAGAUCAACGGUUUUGUGAGAUCUUCAAACACGAGUACUACCCAGCGAAGUGUUUCGCGUUCUCUUGCCGCUGCAAUUCCUGAAUUACCAGCCUUUCGACUUUAGUUCCCAAGUUAUUGGAAACUUAAAGAAGCCUGAUCAAAUCCAAGAUCAACUGUUUGUAGAUCCUCUACAUCAAGGAGGCUGGGCUUAAUGCAAAACUACUAUUGAGCCGGAGGUCUCACUGGAUGUAGUCUCUCUAUUCCUUUAGAGUAGAGAUAAAACUGUUUACAUCUUACUCUCCUCAAACUCUAAGUUAGCUUUGCUAUUGAUAAUUUAUUUCAUAAAAUAGAUACAACCGGCUGUGAAAUAUUUUAUUUCA